rnacentral:snRNA from 1 species
GGGCUUACUUCGGCAGCAUAUAUAUUAAAAUUGGAAUGAUGUAGAGAUUAAAUACAAUGUCCUUUGUACAAAGAUAACAUGCAAAUUUUUGUAGCACUCCAUAUUUUU